ACGGCUCAGUAACACGUGGCUAAUCUGCCCUUGGGAUAGGAACACCCCCGGGAAACUGGGGCUAAUUCCCAAUAGGUGAAGAACUCUGGAAUGAGUCUCCACCAGAAAAGACGUUUACGUUAUGCUCGUAGGCGUCGCCCAAGGAUGAGGCCGCGACCGAUCAGGCUGUUGGUGAGGUAAUGGCUCACCAAGCCUUUUACCGGUGCGGGCCGUGAGAGCGGGAGCCCGGAGAUGGGCACUGAGACAAGGGCCCAGGCCCUACGGGGCGCAGCAGUCGCGAAAACUUUGCAAUACACGAAAGUGUGACAGGGCUAUCCCGAGUGCCAUCCGCUGAGGAAGGCUUUUACCCAGUCUAGAACGCUGGGGGAAUAAGGAGAGGGCAAGUCUGGUGUCAGCCGCCGCGGUAAUACCAGCUCUCCGAGUGGUGUGGAUGUUUAUUGGGCCUAAAGCAUCCGUAGCUGGCUAAGUUAGUCCCUUGUUAAAUCCACCGAAUUAAUCGUUGGAUUGCGGGGGAUACUGCUUGGCUAGGGGACGAGAGAGGCAGACGGUAUUUCCGGGGUAGGGGUGAAAUCCUAUAAUCCCGGGAAGACCACCAGUGGCGAAGGCUGUCUGCUAGAACGCGCCCGACGGUGAGGGAUGAAAGCUGGGGGAGCGAACCGGAUUAGAUACCCGGGUAGUCCCAGCUGUAAACGAUGCAGGCUAGGUGUUUGGACGGCCACGUGCCGUUCUAGUGCCGCAGGGAAGCUGUUAAGCCUGCCGCCUGGGGAGUACGAUCGCAAGAUUGAAACUUAAAGGAAUUGGCGGGGGAG
rnacentral:rRNA from 1 species